UCGAAGCCACGUGCCACGCCCCAGUCGCUGAGGAGAUCUACAAGGAAAUGCUGCGGGUUGUGAAGCCGGGAGGCCACG
rnacentral:ribozyme from 1 species